rnacentral:rRNA from 1 species
AUGGCUCAGUGAGGCCUUGGGACUGGCUCAGAGAGGUCGGCAACGACCACUCAGAGCCGGAAACUUGGUCAAACUUGGUCAUUUAGAGGAAGUAAAAGUCGUAACAAGGUUUCCGUAGGUGAACCUGCGGAAGGAUCAUUACCGAGUUAGGGUACUCUUCGUGCCCGACCUCCAACCCUUUGUCUACCUGACCAGAUGUUGCUUCGACAGGCCCGCCGCCCCUCGCGGGGUGGCCGCCGGGGGUCCUUAACCGGCCCCGGGCCCGCGCCUGUCGAUGGCCCUCUCAAAAACUCUUGCUACAAACGUGUCGUCUGAGUAUUACAAAAAAAUAAAACAAAACUUUCAACAACGGAUCUCUUGGUUCUGGCAUCGAUGAAGAACGCAGCGAAAUGCGAUAAGUAAUGCGAAUUGCAGAAUCCGUGAGUCAUCGAAUCUUUGAACGCAUAUUGCGCCCUCUGGUAUUCCGGGGGGCAUGCCUGUUCGAGCGUCAUUAUCACCCCUCAAGCCCGGCUUGUUGUUGGAUGUUGGCGGUGGCCUCUCCUGUGCCCCGCCCGUCUCAAAGAUAAUGACGGCGUCUGUGAGGACUCCUGUACACUGAGCUUUCGGGCACGUACUAGGCAGCACUCCAGGCCCGGUCUUCGUCGAAUCCCGUCUCGGGUACCGACAAACUUUUACCAAGGUUGACCUCGGAUCAGGUAGGAAUACCCGCUGAACUUAAGCAUAUCAAUAAGCGGAGGAAAAGAAACCAACAGGGAUUGCCUUAGUAACGGCGAGUGAAGCGGCAACAGCUCAAAUUUGAAAUCUGGCCUCUUUGGGGUCCGAGUUGUAAUUUGGAGAGGAUGUUUCGGGUACGGUCCGGGCUUAAAUUUCUUGGAACAGAAUGUCACGGAGGGUGAGAAUCCCGUCUGGAGUCCGGACACGGCCUAUGUGAAACUCCUUCGACGAGUCGAGUUGUUUGGGAAUGCAGCUCUAAAUGGGUGGUAAAUUUCAUCUAAAGCUAAAUAUUGGCCAGAGACCGAUAGCGCACAAGUAGAGUGAUCGAAAGAUGAAAAGCACUUUGAAAAGAGAGUUAAAAAGUACGUGAAAUUGUUGAAAGGGAAGCGCUGGCAACCAGACUUGCGCGUCGGGGUUCCCCCUUGCUUCUGCCUGGGUUACUCCCCGGCGUUCAGGCCAACAUCGGUUUCGGGGGUUGGUUAAAGGCCUUGGGAAUGUACCUACCCUCCGGGGUAGACUUAUAGCCCAGGGUGUCAUGCGACCUCCCGGGACCGAGGAACGCGCUUCGGCUCGGAUGUUGGCGUAAUGGUUGUCAGCGACCCGUCUUGAAACACGGACCAAGGAGUCUAACAUCUAUGCGAGUGUUAGGGUGUCAAACCCUUACGCGGAAUGAAAGUGAACGGAGGUAGGAAGCCGUUAGGCUGCACUAUCGACCGAUCCUGAAGUUUACGGAUGGAUUUGAGUAAGAGCAUAGCUGUUGGGACCCGAAAGAUGGUGAACUAUGCCUGAAUAGGGUGAAGCCAGAGGAAACUCUGGUGGAGGCUCGCAGCGGUUCUGACGUGCAAAUCGAUCGUCAAAUUUGGGUAUAGGGGCGAAAGACUAAUCGAACCAU